GUGAAGAGGAUAUGACGUAUAUCCAAUGGAUGACUCUAAAGAAAGGUGAACCACAACGUUGUGACUGCGGCUAUUUCUUCGAACUAACCCCUGGAUUACCUUACAAUAUUGCCAGUUAAGUUGACAAGUUAGACACUAAUAAUAGUUUAUUAUGAAAAGUUGACUCUACUAUAAUGCUGUAUUGUACUUUAAUAUUUGCGCAAUUUAUUUGGAUAAAUUUCUGUAUGUUUCAAUAACUUUUAAAACAGACUGUUUUUGCUUUUUGACUUGUUUGUUGGUAUUUACUGGUAAGACAUGACUUUCCUUAGAGACUAAUAUGCCUUGCUGAAAACUUGUUUAUACUGGAUAGCUCUAUCUGUUCUAAACUGUUCUUCCCAGAUGUCCAGUAAGGAUCAUCUCUUAUUGAUCCAGUGUUACUACAGGAGGAAACCUAAACUAAACUAACUUUAUUUAUACUGGAUAUAUAGCUUUAUCAGUUCUAAACUGUUCUUCCUAGAGGUCCAGUCAGGAUCAUCUGUUAUUGAUCCAAUGUUACUACAGGAGGAAACCUAAACUAAACUAACUUUAUUUAUACUGGAUAGCUCUAUCAGUUCUAAACUGUUCUUCCUCUGUAGGAAGGAUCAUCUCUUAUUGAAGCUAUCCAGUAUAAAUAAAGUUAGUUUAGUUUAGGUUUCCUCCUGUAGUAACACUGGGUCAAUAAGAGAUGAUCCUUACUGGACCUCUAGGGAGAACAGUUUAGAACUGACAGAGCUAUCCAGUAUAAAUAAAGUUAGUUUAGUUUAGGUUUCCUCAUCUACUAACACUUGAUUCCAGGAAUGAUCAUCUCUUAUUGAUCAUGCAGUGUUACUACAGGAGGAAACCUAAACUAGACUACAGUAACUUUAUAAGAUUAAUUUAAUAACAUAAAUUUCAAUCAAGCUUAUUUUGAAACAUCAUCAGUUACUGUAAUUAUAUACAUAAAAAAUAACAUGAAACCAAAGGUUUUUUAGCUAUAACUAUAUCCCGUUCACACUGAAGUUGACUGAUUACAUAUUUAAAGUAAAAAACUACUAGUAAUACAAGUUUACCGUUGUGAGAAGUAAAAAUCGUUGUGAGAAAUAAUAAGUUUGUCAGCUCGGUAUUAUAUUUGCUGACUAUUGGCUAUAUGAGCUGUGCAAUCAAUCCUUUUUUGUAUGCUUAUCCACACAGAAUUAAAAUUAGUACAUUAAUUUCUGGUACUUCCGCUUGUUUCAGCCAAGGUAAAUAGCAAUACGAACAACACAAUGGCUUCAACAGGC